rnacentral:lncRNA from 1 species
GAGCCGCCAUCAUGCCACAGCACUCCAGCCUGGGCGACAGAGUAAAACUGUCUCAACAACAACAAAAAGUCUUGGGGCAGUAUCCUGGCCACGGCGCAGAGGCAUCCAGUAAGCAUCCUCAAAUCAAGAAGCCACAAUGACUCCCCAUCUGACUUUGCUGUCAGACUUGUCACGAGACUGCUGGCUCCACUGUAGAGCUGUGCUCAUUUAUUCCCACUGUGAGGAGCUGGGUUGGGGGCCUCAGGGUGAUGACCACGUCCCCGCCUACUUCCUCUUAUUAGCAGAGCAAGGGUGAGUGUUCCCAGGAAUGAGCCCCUCACACUAGUAGCCAGGAGCCAGUUCUUGACUUAUUGCCAAGAAAAUCACUUGCUUCCUGGCUUGGAUGUUGCCUGGGAUACCCCAUGGUCAGGGGCGGCCACUUCCUCGUGCCCACCCCUUCUGACUCUAUCCAACAAAUGGGAUGAGUGUCCCUGUCCCACUGGCUGCUCUUCCCCUUUCCCCCAAUGGUUUAUUUGCUAGAAGAGUCUUUUCCUACCAACUCUGAGCUUGAUGCAGACAGACAAGACACUUACCUGCUUUCGGUUUGAAGAUGUUCAGCUCAGAUUACCUGCAUCUAAGGACCAAAAUGUAAAUGCCAGGGCCAUUCUUCCAGGUCAGUUUGCAUCAGAACCAUGCAGGUUGCAUCUGUUGCUAGUUACAAGAGAGAGCUAGGCCCUUCUUCAGUUUAAGGUCUUAGGCGGGAUGCCAAAAUCUGCAUUUCCAGCAAGUUCCCAGAUGAUGGCCAGGCUACAUUGUGAGAACAUCACAAUAGAUCAUUCUUCGUCUUAGAGUGGAGCCAGGGCAAAAGAGGAAUUCAAGCUGGAACAAGGAGUCCGAGAAGACGCGACUGCUGGACAGAACAAGCGAUGAAGCCAGUCCCCAAACUGAUGAGCCCGCAGCUCCAUCCAAAUUAAAUGGGCUGAGAACACCAACACUCCACCCUCCCGGUACGAUUGCAUGGCAGGGAGGAACCAAAAAUAUUUUUCCUUCAUCUGCUAUCUCAGCUAAGCAGUACACUCUUUCUAGCACCUCACUAGAGUCCAGUUUUUCUGUAUUCUGUAUUCACAAUACAGGUUUAUUAUGAACUCUGAGCAGAUGAGGCUAUUUUUCCCCCUUUUGGUUUCUUAGUAACUAGGCAAAGUACAAGGCUCACGGUGGGUAUUUAAUAA